CUGCUCUGUAUGACAGCAUGUAUAUUAAAAGUUGGAAUGACACAGAGAUUACCAUGGCCCCUGCCCAAGAGUGACACACAGAUUCACGAAACAUUCCAUAUUUAA